GGACCUGGAGGCUUCGGUCUGCUGGGGAAGGAAGUCUGUUUCCUCCCUUGCGCCCCGCUUCUUGACUCAGCGCUGACAUCCUCAGGGUUGUUUCCGACCCUGGCUGGGCCCCCUGUUUUGAGUUGGGGUCCCUGCAGAUCGCUGUGUUUUCGCUGCAAGCGGACUCCCAGAGGAAAUCUCUCGCAGUAGCGACUUUGCGUUUCUCAAUGCAGCAAGGGUCUCCGCCAGGUAUCUUCCUCCAGGCUCUUUAGUCUCCUCGCGGAAAUUUCGUCGUCACCGAGGGGAUGGAAAGGUUCCUGGUCUUCACCACCCCUCUACUUCCGCUCAGUGAUUCCGAGACAGUCGACUCCCAAGGAGUGCGGUCAAAAUUCGCUAGCGCGGGCGCCUCAGGAGGAUGCGCUCAAGUCACCGCUACUGGAGUCCUGGGCAGUUCACCACUGGAAGCCGGCACCUUGGAGGGUCAUCAAUGUUCAAGUGUACAUCAGAGCAUCUAUACUUGUUGAAUCUCUUUAGGCCGUCUAUAAAUCUGGAAUAUCAUGGGAGUGGCAGUGUUUUUGUGUAUCAGUUUUUGGUCGUCACAACAUCUUUAUUUUUAUGUGAUGCUGAGGAUUGAACCCAGCGACCUGCGCAUGCCAGUUUUCCGUAGAACCUCUGCUGCUCCCUGUCGCUGUGCUCCUCCUCUCAGUGUGCCCUAUCAGGAACCAGCAGUUCCUUGGAGGAGUCGCAAAUAUCUGAUGCUCCAAAGUCUUCCCAGACUGGCUUCUCAGGACUUCUUCCUCUAAGGCAUCAUUAAAGGAAACAGAAGUGGCAGUUUGGGUAGAAAAGGAAAGCGGCUUAGGAAACAGGAGGCCUGACUUCCCUCCCUCCUGGCUCAGGGUUCAUCUGGGGGACCUCGGUAAGUGUGUUUCCCUCUCUGAGCCUUAU